UCUUGCGAAACAUCAUCCGUCUCGGUUUGUCUCGCUGUAUCGGUGAAUGUAUCUCUCGAACGACGAUAAAUCAUCUUUCUUCCCGCGCGAUAAACACUUGGGUCGAUUCGCUCUGGAUAUGAUUUGGUAUACAAUUCUUGGUGAGAUGGUUGCGUGAUUUAUACAUAAGAAGAUGUUCUUUUGAUAUUUUGAAUGUUAAUAAUUUGAAAGGAAGAUAAUUAAGUUGGGAAAACAAUAAAAUUCUAAUUGGCUGCUAAAAGAUUGUAGAUAGUUUAAGAAUAUGAUAGAAGUUGUGAUUGAAUUAUAUACUGCUUAUCUGUGAUAACUAUGGCAAGAGCAUGACAUUUAUUCAUUCCCUGCAAGAAGAAUAUAGAAAGUGGAAUUGCUCGAAACAAUCUCUGCUUUUUAUCCGAUUUUAAGAAUGCACGUUGAACUGAUUCUUAGCCAGGAACUACUUAAAACUUGUACCAUCUACGGAGAAUACUUUGCAGAAUAAUAUCUUUUCUAGAGAUAUUUAAAUGGAAGAAAAAGGGAAGGAAAAGUUCUCGUCGUGAUAAUUCUUUAAGUUGCGAUAAAUAAACAAUCAGUUUUGUAAUAUUUAUUUUAAAAGGGAUCCUUCUUUUAUACAUUUACGUCUGGUCUCUGAUUAUGAGUGGGAUUGCAAGGAUUAAACUGACGACAGGGUGCUUUCCCACUGGAUUAGACACGUAGCAGACGGUAUUGUCAUAUAGAUUUCGUACAUUCAAUAAUAAAAGAUAAAUUUGUACUUCCUUAUCGA